UACGUAGGGUGCAAGCGUUAAUCGGAAUUACUGGGCGUAAAGCGUGCGCAGGCGGCUUUGCAAGUCAGAUGUGAAAUCCCCGGGCUUAACCUGGGAACUGCAUUUGUGACUGCAUGGCUGGAGUGCGGCAGAGGGGGAUGGAAUUCCGCGUGUAGCAGUGAAAUGCGUAGAUAUGCGGAGGGACACCGAUGGCGAAGGCAAUCCCCUGGGCCUGCACUGACGCUCAUGCACGAAAGCGUGGGGAGCAAACAGG
rnacentral:rRNA from 1 species